AUUAAAAAUAAGCAUAGCUUAGAAUUUUUAAUGUAUACACAGGGUUAAAAUAUGUAAAUUGUGACAUCAAAAACAUAAAAUGGAGGGAGGAGUAGAGUGUAGAAAUUAAGUAUUUGAAGUUGUUAUAGCUUAAAAUAUAUUGUUAUAAAUAUGAGGUGGUUUAUAUAAUCCUGGUAACCACAAAGCAAACACCUAUACUAGAUACACAAAAGAUAAAGGAAUCUAAGCACACCCAUACCAAAAAAACAAAAAAAACAAAAACCAUCUUAUCACAAAGGAAGACAGCAAGACAUGAAGGAACAAAGGAAUUACAAUGCAGCCAGAGAAUAAUGAACAAAAUGGCAGUAAGAAGUCUUUAUCUAUCCAUCCAUGAACUUUAAAUGAACAAAAUUCCCAAAAGAUAGACUGGGGGAAAAAAAAAAAAAGAACUGGACUGACUUGGUAGUACAGUGGAUUCUUAACCAUUGGACCACCAAGGAAUUUCAAGUAUUUUUAAAUUAAGGGAUGUACAUUUCUUAAGACUUGAUAUUAUCCUAUAGGCUACAGUAUAGUCCAAAGAUAACUUUCAUAUAACUGGGAAACCAAAAAAUUCGUGUGACUUGUGUUAUUCUGAUAUUUGCUUAACUAAGGUCAUCUGUAACUGAACCUGUAAUAUUCCAAGGUAUGCCUGGUACAAAAACCUUUUGCAUUUAUAUACACAACAAUGAACUAUCAGAAAGAGAAAUUAAGAAAACAAUCCCAUUUGUAGCUGCAUCAAAAAUAAUAUACCCUAGGAAUAAAUUUAACCAGGGAGAUGACAGAUCUGGACACUGAAAUGUAUGACACCGAUAAAAUAAAUUGAAAACAUAAAUAAAUACAAAGAUAUUCUGUGCUCAUGGACAGGAAGAUUAUUGUUAAAAUGUCCAUACUAUUUAAACCCACCUAUAGAGUCAAUGCAAUUCCUACCAAAAUGCCAAUGGCAUUUUCUAGUUCUAAAAUUUGUAUGGAAACACAAAAGACUGAAUUGAUAAAGCA
ensembl:lncRNA